rnacentral:rRNA from 1 species
GACGAACCGUGCAAACGUUGUUCGGAAUCACUGGGCUUAAAGGGCGCGUAGGCGGGGGACCAAGUCCGGGGUGAAAUCUUUCGGCUCAACCGGAAAACUGCCUUGGAUACUGGUCUUCUUGAGGGAGGUAGGGGCAGGUGGAACUUCCGGUGGAGCGGUGAAAUGCGUUGAUAUCGGAAGGAACGCCGGUGGCGAAAGCGGCCUGCUGGAUCUCUUCUGACGCUGAGGCGCGAAAGCUAGGGGAGCGAACGGG